UUAUUUAUUUAUUUACUUACUUACUUCCAGGUGUCCUUUUUUUCUUCAAGACAAAUGAAUGGGGAAAAAAGAAAACUCCAGAUGUCACCGCAUUCACCAGGCUGGACUCUCAUCUAAGAUGUCGUUUCUCUCAAGCUGCUUGGUUCAACUUUAAAAAUGGGAACUAUUUAACUAAGGAGUGGUGAGAUAAGCUCCCUUGUUGGUUCUUUUGAGUAUUCCUCAGAUGGUGAAGCAUACUACAAGACUCUAAUAUUAAAUAUCUGCCACAGCAGAUCAUCAUAGCCACAAACGUCAGCUUUGUUGUGCGUAAUGUCAGAUCUAUUUGUAAAUACUUCUUGCAGAUGGGUGAACAUAUUACCAGAGCCAUCUGCUCCUGCUAAUAUCCCAUUGAAAAUGAAGAAUGUAUUCAGCUGCUUCUUCUAUACAGUCCAUGUAAGAAGCACAGUGUCAGCUGCUUUGCCUGAACUACUGCAUUUGGUGUUUGGAGACCACCCACAUCCUUUGGUUAAUGUGAUGGGAAUUUGCUGGGCACGUGGACACUAGGCUAUCAACUCAGAGGUGGGAUUUAUAUGAAGAGAUAUAUGAGAAAUGCUUUUCUAAAUUAGCAGUGGGUUUAUUAUUAAACAGGAAUAUCCUGGCCGUGGAUCUUCAACAAGAAUCAAGCUGUGGUUUUGCUCCAUGUUUGUACAGAAAUAUGAUGCGCAUAAUUAUAUAAUGGCAGCAGCAGCCAGCUUUUUGAGACGUCCACCAGAGGACGCACACCUGCAGCACACCUUCACAACAGCACUACUAGCUAUCCCUGCCCUUUGAGACAUUUGUGUCUCCUGCUGACACAGUACUCUGCCAUAGUCCUGGCCCUGGCUGUGCUGCAGCCUCCACCUUGGCCUUUAUUCACGUGAUGGAGGUGCAGCAGAUUCGAU
rnacentral:lncRNA from 1 species